UAUAAAUUAUCAAGGAACAGCAGGGC
rnacentral:piRNA from 1 species